AAAAAACUGUCCAUUGAACUACUAAAUUCACCAAAAUUCGAACUUGACAACAUUUCUUGGGUAGAAAUGUCCAGCUCCCCGUCAGCCAUAAUUGAAACCUCAAUAGUAACCAAUAUGUCAAACUAGUGAAGCAGAGUCUGAGGCGUGAAAAAGGAGAGAAAAAUGGGGGUGCGAGGAAAAGUGAAGGAACCCUAGAAAAGGCUAAAAAGGGGUGUUAAGAUGUCAAAUAGUUUUAAUGGCGGAAAAAGAAUGGAGGAAAACAAAG
rnacentral:misc_RNA from 1 species